rnacentral:rRNA from 1 species
AGUGAACGCUGGCGGUAGGCCUAACACAUGCAAGUCGAACGGCAGCACAGUAAGAGCUUGCUCUUACGGGUGGCGAGUGGCGGACGGGUGAGGAAUACAUCGGAAUCUACUUUUUCGUGGGGGAUAACGUAGGGAAACUUACGCUAAUACCGCAUACGACCUACGGGUGAAAGCAGGGGAUCUUCGGACCUUGCGCGAUUGAAUGAGCCGAUGUCGGAUUAGCUAGUUGGCGGGGUAAAGGCCCACCAAGGCGACGAUCCGUAGCUGGUCUGAGUGGUGGAUCUGCCACCCUUGAACUGAGACACGGUCCAGACUCCUACGGGAGGCAGCAGUGGGGAAUAUUAGACAAUGGGGGCAAGCCUGAUCCAGCCAUACCGCGUGGGUGAAGAAGGCCUUCGGGUUGUAAAGCCCUUUUGUUGGGAAAGAAAAGCAGCAGGUUAAUACCCCGCUGUUCUGACGGUACCCAAAGAAUAAGCACCGGCUAACUUCGUG